rnacentral:rRNA from 1 species
CUGGCGGCGUGCCUUAAUCAUGCAAUUCUUAGCGGACAGAAGGGAGCUUGCUCCCGGAUGUUAGCGGCGGACGGGUGAGUAACACGUGGGUAACCUGCCUGUAAGACUGGGAUAACUCCGGGAAACCGGAGCUAAUACCGGAUAGUUCCUUGAACCGCAUGGUUCAAGGAUGAAAGACGGUUUCGGCUGUCACUUACAGAUGGACCCGCGGCGCAUUAGCUAGUUGGUGGGGUAAUGGCUCACCAAGGCGACGAUGCGUAGCCGACCUGAGAGGGUGAUCGGCCACACUGGGACUGAGACACGGCCCAGACUCCUACGGGAGGCAGCAGUAGGGAAUCUUCCGCAAUGGACGAAAGUCUGACGGAGCAACGCCGCGUGAGUGAUGAAGGUUUUCGGAUCGUAAAGCUCUGUUGUUAGGGAAGAACAAGUGCGAGAGUAACUGCUCGCACCUUGACGGUACCUAACCAGAAAGCCACGGCUAACUACGUGCCAGCAGCCGCGGUAAUACGUAGGUGGCAAGCGUUGUCCGGAAUUAUUGGGCGUAAAGGGCUCGCAGGCGGUUUCUUAAGUCUGAUGUGAAAGCCCCCGGCUCAACCGGGGAGGGUCAUUGGAAAACUGGGAAACUUGAGUGCAGAAAAAGGAGAGUGGAAUUCCACGUGUAGCGGUUGAAAAUGCCUUAAAAAUGUGGAGGAACACCCAUUGGCC